AGCGAACGCUGGCGGCAGGCUUAACACAUGCACGUCGAGCGGGCAUCUUCGGAUGUCAGCGGCAGACGGGUGAGUAACACGUGGGAACGUACCCUUCGGUUCGGAACAACUCUGGGAAACUGGAGCUAAUACCGGAUACGCCCUUAUGGGGAAAGGUUUACUGCCGAAGGAUCGGCCCGCGUCUGAUUAGCUAGUUGGUGGGGUAACGGCCUACCAAGGCGACGAUCAGUAGCUGGUCUGAGAGGAUGAUCAGCCACACUGGGACUGAGACACGGCCCAGACUCCUACGGGAGGCAGCAGUGGGGAAUAUUGGACAAUGGGCGCAAGCCUGAUCCAGCCAUGCCGCGUGAGUGAUGAAGGCCUUAGGGUUGUAAAGCUCUUUUGUCCGGGACGAUAAUGACGGUACCGGAAGAAUAAGCCCCGGCUAACUUCGUG
rnacentral:rRNA from 1 species